UACAUAGGGGGCAAGCGUUAUCCGGAAUUACUGGGCGUAAAGGGUGAGUAGGCGGUUUUAUAAGUCAUAUGUGAAAAUCCAGUUCUCAAGGCUGGACUUGCAUAAGAAACUGUAGAACUAGAGUGCAGGAGAGGUAAGCGGAAUUCCUAGUGUAGCGGUAAAAUGCGUAGAUAUUAGGAAGAACACCAGUGGCGAAGGCGGCUUACUGGACUGUAACUGACGCUGAUACACGAAAGCGUGGGGAGCGAACAGG
rnacentral:rRNA from 1 species